AGAAAUGCGACCCCUCAUCCUGAACUCCAUGCACUGAAACAUUCAUCACCACCCUCGCCAUCUUUUCUAUCAGCCCGUUCAAAAGUUCCAUCAUUCCAGAUGGCUCUUGAAUGACUCUGUCUUCACAUUUGACCAUUUGUUAAUUGAUUCAAUAUAUGCCUGUAUUACAGAUCCAAGCCAAGUCUAUGUUGCCUUCACCAGUGUUCAGAUACACCUGGUUGGAGUCUCACUCUGUUGCCCAGGCUGGAGUGCAGUGGUGUGAUCUCAGCUCACAGCAACCUCUGCCUCCCGGAUUAAAGUGAUUCUCCUUCAUCAGCCUCCUGAGUAGCUGGGACUACAGGCGCGUGCCACCAUGCCCAGCUAAUUUUUUGUAUUUUUAGUAGAGAGAAGGUUUCGCUGUGUUAGCCAGGCUGGUCUCGAUCUCCUGACCUCGUGAUCCACCCGCCUCGGCCUCCCAAAGUGCUGGGAUUACAGGCGUGAACCAC
rnacentral:lncRNA from 1 species